UACGUAGGUGGCAAGCGUUAUCCGGAAUUAUUGGGCGUAAAGCGCGCGCAGGCGGUCUCUUAAGUCUGAUGUGAAAGCCCACGGCUCAACCGUGGAGGGUCAUUGGAAACUGGGGAACUUGAGUGCAGAAGAGAAAAGCGGAAUUCCACGUGUAGCGGUGAAAUGCGUAGAGAUGUGGAGGAACACCAGUGGCGAAGGCGGCUUUUUGGUCUGUAACUGACGCUGAGGCGCGAAAGCGUGGGGAGCAAACAGG
rnacentral:rRNA from 1 species